AGUUUAGGCUACUCCUUUCACACUUAAUUCAGUCAGCCCUUUAAUAACCCCAUUCUUUGUCUGAAGAUCAAUUCACUUUGUGGUUUUUUUUUUCCCUCAGAAAUUCCAUCAUUGUGGAGCUAAUUAUAUCUGUGUUGAUGCUAAUCAUUAACUAGCUUAUUUCUAUAUAUUUUUCUUAUUAUAGUGUCAUAAUACACCAUGAGGUGGUUGGGUCCCAUUUCCAGAACAACCAGAGUGACGUCUGAACAAUGCUCUCUAAACAAGAUCUUCAUGUCUGCUCCCAAAGAGGGUUGCUACAUUCUUAGCUUCCCUCAAUUUAAUUCUUUUAUGAUAAAAAGAAGUAAGGAGGCUUAGCAGAGGUGCUUGAAGAAGGCCUCCACCUAAAGCCUCAGAGAAAGACACCUAGGAAUGAAGGUGCCUGGGCUUGGAAUGCAAAUGGCGGAAGAACUUGAUGGACCGGAGCAGCCUGGCCUGAGUCCUUUUCUGCCAUUCCCCUUGGACACUGCCAUCCUCUGGAUGGGCGUCAAGCCUGCUGUGGAAAGGGCAGCUUCCACUUCGAGGCCUGUCACAUAAACCUUUUGUAAUCAUUUGUGGUCACACCUGGAAAAUAGUAAGUAGGUUUUUAACCAGGAGUUGGACUCCUCACACCAAUACUGUUUAAAAAAAUGAUAAUUUAAGUUUCACACAUGUUUCUUUUGAGUAGCCUGUGAGAAAGGAAAUUAUAAAUGUUUAAAAUAAAGUGAGCAUAACUUUGGGAAUAAUCAAGAUCGAGUUUGAAGAAUUAUCGGCCUUGGUUGUUAAUUGAUACAAGAAAGAAAGAGAGUAAUCACUCAAAAGAAUGAGUAGCGUGAAAAGAACAACAUCAAAUAUUUGAAGUUCAAAACUAUUCAGAAAAUAUUUGGAAGGAGAGAGGACAUUCAGAAGAUAGAGAAGAUGAAAUGAAGAUGUUUAGGUUUAGACACAGGGGUACCUUGUCACAAUAGAACAUGAGUAGGUAAUUUUGAAGAAAAAUCUACAGGAAUAAACAGAGAGAAAGAACAGGCAGCUGUAUUCAUAAGCAAAUAAAGUAAAAAUGAUAAAAUACUACAGCAUUCUCAAAUACUACAAACUCUUCUAUGAGUCUGUACAAAUUGAAAAAAAAGAUAAGGUUCUAUCCAAAUAGUAAAUAGAUCAUCUCUGCAUUGUAAGACCCAACAUUCCGUAUGCUGCCUUUGACCUCUGAACCUCUGAGAACUCCGAAUUCUUAGUGCUACAACCUUUUCUCUUAUCAAACAUGCCCUCCCACUCACCAGCAAAGCCUCCCCAUCCAGCUAGGUCCAUUUUCAGCCGAACCACCUGCACCCAGCUUGGUCCUCAACCUUCCCGCCUGCACAAGAUCCGAUUCAACCCAGUCAGUCACAACCCUCAUGAGAACCAGGUUGCACCCCACCUUCCUAUUAAUACAAAGCCUGCCUCUCACAUCCCUCCUGUUUCACUCUGCUCCUGAGUGUAGCCUUGCACUGCACGUGGCAUUCUCCUUUCUUGGGCUGUGAGUAAACGUGACUAAUAAUCUGCUGCUAACUGCAUCUGUUCAUUGUCAAGUGUCCUGUGUUCAACCGCCUUGUACUAUUUAUAAUGAGGGAUUCCUUCUUCACCAACAGGGUGAACAGAAAAUGUUCAGAGCAAUCAUCCUCUGAAAAUUCAUAUAAAUGACAGCAGAAAUACAAGAAGGAGAUUGGAUUUCAAUCCUCUUGGAAACAAUUGAUUUGGAAGUGGUCUGUGGUCUAAAGAUUUUGACAAAAUUUUAGGAGCAAGUAAAGAUGAUAUAAAUAUAUAAAGAGACAGAACAGAAGGGAGAUAGCCACAUUUCAGAAAACAUGGAGAAAUUAUACAAGUGAUUCUUCCCAGGAAAUUCUUCAGAAAUGUCCAAAGAAAAAAUUAUGGACUUACAAAUCUGACUGUGCGAUGACUGCAAAAUCCUCCUUUAUCUUCCUCUCCCUGACAUGCAUGCAAACACACACACACACACACACACACACACACACACCCUGAGAUUUGCAUCAUUUGUCUUUAGGCUAAAAUAAGGGAAAACAUUUCAAAAUGAUUUACCGAUUUUUUUAAAUGAUGGGCACAGUAACCAUAAUUAAGUCUUCCGUAUUUGGCAUUGGAAUGAAGGUAACGGGAUCAAACCCUUCUAUUUACUUCUCCUUACUCAUCCAAAGAUGCAGUCAACCAUCAACAAACACUUCCCUAGUAUACUGCCCACAAAGUCAGCUCGUAAAUUCAGGGAAAAUAGUUUAUAAGGGUCUCAAGGCUGUUUAAAAACACCAACACCAUAAGAGAGAUGGAGUAGGUGGAAAAAAUACACAAAGAAAGUGCAACGAACAGAAACAACUAAAAUAAACAAGGAACAUUCAGCAAAAAUUUUAAAUGUUGUAUUAUCUGUUAUGAUUUUUCUUUUACUUUUCCUUCAUAAGUAAACCAUUUAUUUUUCUGAAAAUUUUGAGUGUAUUCUUUCUAUCAUCAUUAUGCUUAAACGUGAUGGGAAACUUACUGGGCAUUAUUUACAAGGCACAUUUCUCCACACACUUGUUCCUUUUCUUUUCAAUAACUUUCAUCUAUGUAAGCACAACAGGCUCCCUUAUUUUGCUCUGUUCUUCUGCAAAGUCACCUUCCAUAUGAAAAGACUUCCCUGGAAAGUAUUGCCUUCCCACUCUACCUAAAACUUCAGUGUAUUUUCCAGAUAUUCUAUAUGCCCUCUCCUGAUGUGAUUUGUUCUCCUUAUAAUUUUGCACUGAUUGUUAUACUAUAUUUAUCUUGAUUAUUGUCUUUCUCCUCUACCAAAAUGUAAGAACUGUAAGUGCAAUGACAUUUUUCUCUUUUAUCACUGUAUUCCUGGCUCCUAGAGGAGCACCUGACAUGUUAUAAUUGUUCUUACUGAAGAAAAUAAAUAACUGAUUUGGUGAAAAAC
rnacentral:lncRNA from 1 species